GACGAACGCUGGCGGCGUGCUUAACACAUGCAAGUCGAACGGAAAGGCCCUGCUUUUGUGGGGUGCUCGAGCGGCGAACGGGUGAGUAACACGUGAGUAACCUGCCCUUGACUUUGGGAUAACUUCAGGAAAUUGGGGCUAAUACCGGAUAGGAGCUCCUGCUGCAUGGUGGGGGUUGGAAAGUUUCGGCGGUUGGGGAUGGACUCGCGGCUUAUCAGCUUGUUGGUGGGGUAGUGGCUUACCAAGGCUUUGACGGGUAGCCGGCCUGAGAGGGUGACCGGCCACAUUGGGACUGAGAUACGGCCCAGACUCCUACGGGAGGCAGCAGUGGGGAAUAUUGCACAAUGGGCGGAAGCCUGAUGCAGCAACGCCGCGUGCGGGAUGACGGCCUUCGGGUUGUAAACCGCUUUCGCCUGUGACGAAGCGUGAGUGACGGUAAUGGGUAAAGAAGCACCGGCUAACUACGUG
rnacentral:rRNA from 1 species